CGCGCGGGAACGUGCCUUUCGGUUCGGAAUAACCCAGGGAAACUUGGGCUAAUGCCGGAUACGUGCGGAAGCAGAAAGAUUUAUCGCCGAAAGAUCGGCCCGCGUCUGAUUAGCUAGUUGGUGGGGUAACGGCCCACCAAGGCGACGAUCAGUAGCUGGUCUGAGAGGAUGAUCAGCCACACUGGGACUGAGACACGGCCCAGACUCCUACGGGAGGCAGCAGUGGGGAAUAUUGGACAAUGGGCGCAAGCCUGAUCCAGCCAUGCCGCGUGAGUGAUGAAGGCCUUAGGGUUGUAAAGC
rnacentral:rRNA from 1 species